rnacentral:lncRNA from 1 species
GACGGGGGAGAUAUUUCUUUUAAAAAUUCAUUAGUCUUUUAUUAGCCUUCUGCAUAAUCUCUGCUAUUAAGGCACUCAACUACAGUUAAAUUAAAAUAAGAUAAAUUAUAUUUAAAUUAUAAUAAUGAAAUUUAUACUGAAAAGAAAAAACGGCUUUAAAAAAAGCUAAAAAUUUGUCGUUUAUAAUACAUGAAAAAUAAAACUUCUUUUUGCUUACAGGAGAAAAAAAUGUCAAUUAAAUAUUUAUAAUAAAAUUAAAUAAUAAAAACUCAUUUUCUUUUCAGAAAAGUUUGAAAAUUUCUUUUGAUAAAAAUAUAUCCGUUUUGCCAACGAUUAAGGGGCAGAUAAUAACCUAUAAUAAAUAUUUGCAAUAUCAGAGUUAGUUCCCCUCCACCAUAAUUUUAUUUUCUGUCUUUAUUAUUAUUUUUUUUUCAUUCUGAAGAAAAAAAAAAUCGAUUUUAUUCGAUAAUCGUUUUUAAAAAUUCGUCGAUAUUACUUGAGGAUUUGAUCCAGCACUCGAUGCUGUUUUGGAAUCACGUAUACAUAUAUAUAUAUGCGAAUUAUGUAUGUAUAUAUGUAUAUAUAUAUAUGCACAUAUCUAUGUAUAUGUGUGUGUGCUUGUAUGUAAUAUAUAUAUAUAUGUGUGUGUGUGUGUGUGUGUGUAUGUAUAUAUGCGUGUUUGGUCAUGGAAACCGACAGGUGACAAUAAACGUGCAAAAUUUAUGGAUCGAGUAUUUUUUUAGUCCUUGAUUAUAAAGUCACACACAACGCACGAAUGCGCAUGUGCAAGAGAGCACACACGCACGCGAACGAGCGUGCGCGCACACCCACCCACUGACAAACGUAUAUUUGUACGCGCAGGUUUAAUAGCAUGGUCACUGCUUUUGGUCUCAAACUAGCCGAGGUCAAAGUACGUAUACACACACACACACACACACACACACACACACACACAUAUAUAUAUCAUUUUAUAGUGUCCGUGAAGAGUCAUUCUGUUUCAAUGCCUUAUUAAUUAACACACGCACUGGUUCGAUUUCCACUCGUAUACUUAUUUAUUUUUUUCCAAAAUUUUCGUUCCUUCUUGCAACCUCUUCAAUAGUCGUUGAUUCUCUUAUUGAAAAGGUUGCAAGAAGCAACGAAAAUUUUAGAAAAAAUAAACAAGUCAAUGAGUGGAAAUCGAACCAGUGCGUGUGUUAAUUAAUAAGGCAUUAAAACAGAAUGACUCUCCCCAGACACAAUAAAAUAUGCUUCAACACACGAAUUCACAUAAAGAAUCUUGUAAACCAAACACAAAAACUAUAUAUAUAUAUAUAUAUAUAUAUAUAUAUAUAUAUAUAUACACACUUUAUUUAAAAGCAGCAGAAAUUCAACAAAACCUGUUACUCUGAGUUUUAUUUUCCCGUUCGUCGGACAGUUUUUGUAAACUGUCCGACGAACGGGAACGUGAAACUCCGAGUAACAGGUUUUGUUGAAUUUCUGCUGCUUUUAAAUAAAGCAUAUUACUCUACCCCUGGUAUUUGAGUACUCUUUUUUCCACCUUGUUUCACAUUUAUGUGUUUGCUUUGGUAUAUAUAUAUAUAUAUAUAUGCACAUAUAUACAUAUAGACAAGCAUGCAUUUACAUACUGGCAGGCACUGAGAUUCAGAUAUUUGAAUUGAAUGAGUGUAAAACGUGCAUAUAUACUUUGCUGCAGCUAAUGUGUAUAUAUAUGUAUGUAUGUAUGUAUGUAUACAUACGAGGGGAACAGCUACUUUUGAUAAAUCUCGAGUUGCGCAUGAGAAAGUAAGGAGGGAUGUCAGGAAGGGCAUCACUGUUGCACUUCCUGAUGGGGUCUUCCUAUGAUGCUGAUAUGCAGUGUCUGCGCAAGACCCUGCCUCAGUAAAGCUGGACUCAUGAGUCAUCUUCGUAGUCAUAAAGCAAGACCGAUGAUUGCCAGCCAGGCCACUGGUGGUGGUGCUACACACCAUACUAGUCAUAUCUGUCGGGCAUGUGGAAGAGAGUGUAAUUCGGCAGGAGGACUUAAACGACAUGCAAAGGUACAUGAAGCCCAGUUACAACUACAGCCGGCUAUUACCAGUAAAGGUUUUAGUUGCCAGUUUUGUACAAGACAUUGUAGAUCUUUAGCUGGGCUAAAAAGUCACAUUUGAUCACAGCACCAAUAACAGUUAAGCCUCGUGCAAUGGCCAUACUCGAUAACGAAGGGGGCAGCCAUCAUGUACAUGCAUGCAUACAUACAUACAUACAUACAAACAUUCAUACAAACAUACAAACAUACAUACAUAUAAUAUAUAUAUAUAAUAUACAUAUAUAUGUAUAUACAUAUAUAAAUGCAUAUAUAUGUAUAUACAGUAGAUUUGCUCAAUGAAAUGGCUUGCUCAUGAAAUUAACACGCAAGUGGCUGAGCGCUCCACAGACACACAUACCCUUAACGUAGCUUUUCGGGAGAUUCAGCAUGAUGCAGAACGCGACGAGUGGCCCCUUUGAAUUACAAGGUCCAACUCAAUUUUUGUCUAGCUGAGUUGGAAUUGAAGCAACGUGAAAUAAAGUGUCUUGCUCAAGGACAAAACACUUGACUGGGAUUUGAACUCAUGGCUUUAUGAUUGAGCCGAAUACACAAACCACUAGGCUAUACAUCUUCACAUGUAUAUAUAUGUAUACAUUUUUUUUUACUUGUUUCAGUCAUUUGACUGCGGCCAUGCUUGAGCAACACCUUUAGUCGAACAAAUCAGACCCCAGGAAUUAUUCUUUGUAAGCCUAGGACUUAUUCUAUCCGUCUCUUUUUGCUGAACCGCUACGUUACGGGGGACAUAAAAACACCAACAUCAGAUGUCAAGCAAUGGUGGGUGGACAAACACAGAGAUACACACACAUAUAUAUAUAUAUAUAUAUAUUUAUAUAUACACACAUGUACAUAUAUACAACAGGCUUGUUUCAGUUUCUGUCUACCAAAUCCACUCACAAGGAUUUGGUCGGCCCGAGUCCAUAGUAGAGGACACUUGCCCAAGGUGCCAUGCAGUGGGACUGAACCCGGAACCCUGUGGCUGAGAAGCAGGCAUCUUACCACACAGCCACAUAUGCGUUGGCGCAAACAGAAAAACCAGAAUGCAAAAUAUGGAUAUAUUUUUAAUAAUAUUUAGCAAAAGUAACAAAGUGAUUCACAAUCAAAGGUUUCGUGCAUUGGCAUUUAACAAACUGGUUUGAUAAUUGGCAAUACAUGAAGCUCUCACUCCUUGAGUCACUCUGUUACUUCUGCUAAAUAUUAAUAAAAUAAAUAUAUAUCACCAUGAUAGAUCGUUAGCUCCUACACGCAUUUUUUUCUCCCCUUGUUUCUUUUCUGUGUAUCUUUCUGUUGAAGAGCAUAGACUCGAAACGUAAACGACUUGUUCUAUUUCUAUUCCUGAGCGCCAUACUAAUACAACUGUUUGUUUGUACUCCACCUGCCUUCGUCUUU